GCGGAGGAAAAGAAACCAACUGGGAUUACCUUAGUAACGGCGAGUGAAGCGGUAAAAGCUCAAAUUUGAAAUCUGGUACUUUCAGUGCCCGAGUUGUAAUUUGUAGAAUUUGUCUUUGAUUAGGUCCUUGUCUAUGUUCCUUGGAACAGGACGUCAUAGAGGGUGAGAAUCCCGUUUGGCGAGGAUACCUUUUCUCUGUAAGACUUUUUCGAAGAGUCGAGUUGUUUGGGAAUGCAGCUCAAAGUGGGUGGUAAAUUCCAUCUAAAGCUAAAUAUUGGCGAGAGACCGAUAGCGAACAAGUACAGUGAUGGAAAGAUGAAAAGAACUUUGAAAAGAGAGUGAAAAAGUACGUGAAAUUGUUGAAAGGGAAGGGCAUUUGAUCAGACAUGGUGUUUUUUGCAUGCACUCGCCUCUCGUGGGCUUGGGCCUCUCAAAAAUUUCACUGGGCCAACAUCAAUUCUGGCAGCAGGAUAAAUCAUUAAGAAUGUAGCUACUUCGGUAGUGUUAUAGCUUUUUGGAAUACUGUUAGCCGGGAUUGAGGACUGCGCUUCGGCAAGGAUGUUGGCAUAAUGGUUAAAUGCGCCCGUCUUGA
rnacentral:rRNA from 1 species